rnacentral:rRNA from 1 species
AGCGAACGCUGGCAGCAGGCUUAACACAUGCAAGUCGAACGCAUCCUUCGGGGUGAGUGGCAGACGGGUGAGUAACACGUGGGAACGUGCCCUCAGGUCUGGGAUAACCCUGGGAAACUAGGGCUAAUACCGGAUACGUGCUUUGGCAGAAAGGUUUUACUGCCGGAGGAUCGGCCCGCGUCUGAUUAGCUAGUUGGUGGGGUAACGGCCUACCAAGGCGACGAUCAGUAGCUGGUCUGAGAGGAUGAUCAGCCACACUGGGACUGAGACACGGCCCAGACUCCUACGGGAGGCAGCAGUGGGGAAUAUUGGACAAUGGGCGCAAGCCUGAUCCAGCCAUGCCGCGUGAGUGAUGACGGCCUUAGGGUUGUAAAGCUCUUUUCUCCGGGACGAUAAUGACGGUACCGGAGGAAUAAGCCCCGGCUAACUUCGUG